rnacentral:rRNA from 1 species
GUAGGUGGCAAGCGUUGUCCGGAAUUAUUGGGCGUAAAGCGCGCGCAGGCGGGGUCCUUUAAGUCUGAUGUGAAAGCCCACGGGCUCAACCGUGGAGGGUCAUUGGGAACUGGGGGACUUGAGUACAGAAGAGGAAAGCGGAAUUCCAAGUGUAGCGGUGAAAUGCGUAGAGAUUUGGAGGAACACCAGUGGCGAAGGCGGCUUUCUGGUCUGUAACUGACGCUGAGGCGCGAAAGCGUGGGGAGCAAACAGGAUUAGAUACCCUGGUAGUCCACGCCGUAAACGAUGAGUGCUAAGUGUUAGGGGGUUUCCGCCCCUUAGUGCUGCAGCUAACGCAUUAAGCACUCCGCCUGGGGAGUACGGCCGCAAAGGCUG